rnacentral:rRNA from 1 species
UACGGGGGGGGCAAGCGUUGUUCGGAAUUACUGGGCGUAAAGGGCUCGUAGGCGGCCAACUAAGUCAGACGUGAAAUCCCUCGGCUUAACCGGGGAACUGCGUCUGAUACUGGAUGGCUUGAGUUCGGGAGAGGGAUGCGGAAUUCCAGGUGUAGCGGUGAAAUGCGUAGAUAUCUGGAGGAACACCGGUGGCGAAGGCGGCAUCCUGGACCGAUACUGACGCUGAGGAGCAAAAGCCAGGGGAGCAAACGGG